AUCAUAAAGUCUUCAAAAAAUAAUAGAUACGAUUGCAAUGCAUAUAGUAACAGAUGCUUUCAUACUAGCACUAAUGCACCGGAUCCCAUCAGAACUACGUAGUUAAGCGUGCUUGGGCGAGAGUAGUACGAGGAUGGGUGACCUCGAGGAAUGUCCUCGUAUUGCAUCUCUC
rnacentral:rRNA from 1 species